CAGAAACGUUGACAAACGUCGAACAAAUCUUUUUGUUAACUGUCUGUGCUGGUGCUGCCUCUAGCUAAUAAUAAUA